AGUUCUCAACCACACCAUGUGAUGUGGCUUGGAUAAUGGGGGGAAGUCUCCAUUUUUGCAGGCUAUAACAAAAGUCUGCUCCCCUGAAACACAUUAGUGGUAUCUGAGCAGAAGCUACUACAGACGUGAUAGCUUGCAUUUGUCCGUGUCUCUGCUGUGCUGCUUCUAAUUCAUGUAUGAUCAUUUGACAA
rnacentral:misc_RNA from 1 species